AUCUCACCUCAUCAUUCCUCCCAGUGAUUAUUUCCAGGAUAAACUGAGAUGCCCCCAAGCUGGCUUCUUAAAACUGACUAAAUAUUUAAAAAGAGCCAAAAGAGCCGUUCUUUUGAACGGCUCUUUGAAAGGAACGGAUCGCGAAGAUCCGGAUCCCCUCAAAGAGCCAUAAAUCCCAUCACUAUUCUCCAUCUCUUCCAUUCUUAUUUUCACUUCUUGACCGCCACCCGACAGAACCACGUGAUUGAAAACAACCUAUUAAAAGUUCACAUCUAUCCGAAAUCCCCGGAUGUGUUCCUGAUCUGUUCCCUUUAUCGAGUAUGGAGAGGAGAUUUGUGCGGACUUGAGACAGCUUUGUAUCAAUGAAAGUUGCCUGAACCACAUUUGUGUGGCUAUUAAUGUUUAAAACCUUAAAAUGAAAACGAAAAGAGGCAGAGUGGUGUUUAACUGGAGUAGAGCGAGCGUUAUCAAGUUCACUGCUGUACCAUUUGCUGAAUCCUCCCGUCUUCCUGAGCCGAACUCGUCAGAACUAACUCAAAUAUGAACUUCGCCUACUUGGUAUUGAGAAACGCCUUAGUUCUCGUUCUGACAUCCUCUCGAAAUGAUAACGGUAACACCAGUCUUCAGCGUCAUUCCGACUUUCUACAUCUUUGAAAAUAAGAGAAUGAACUGACUGAGAUGGACAAUUUUAACAAGCAUCACUCUGCUGGGCCAAAUGUCAGCGCUGCAGCUCAGAGUGGAAGCCAGAUUACAGCACCUGUGCUCACUAACAAUACAAUAACAGGCCAUGUCAACAUCAUACAUAAUGCACCUAGUUCUACUUUGUUUCGCCCACCCUCAGAAACAACAGAAACCUCAGCAACAAGUUCUGUGAUUUUAAAAUAUAAGGAGCGGAUCUGCAGUGAGUAUCAGUGUGUGACCGAGUAUAACUCACUGCCUGGUGAACAAGUGCUGCUGUCUGAGCGCUACACACAACCUCUGAUCCUUCAGAGACAUAGAGGUCGAAAAGAGAGAGAACAAGAGAUCAGAUCCAGUGGAGAAAGUUUCCAGAAGGUCCUCAGCGCCCGGAGCAGUGAUGACUCUGUCCGUCUGAACUCUCUGUUCGACCCACAUGGACACGGGAUCCGUCCCAGUGCUGUUAUACUGCAGGGGAAUUCUGGGAAUGGGAAAUCUUUCACUGUGCAGAAGAUCAUGAUGGACUGGGCAUCUGGUGACUUCUACAAAGGGCGGUUUGAUGUUGUGUUCCACUUGAAGUGUAAAGAAAUAAACCGCAUUUGUGGCAUAAAGAGUUUGGUGGAGAUCUUGAGCUGCAGUUGUAGUUUAACAUCAGAUCAGAUCUCACAGGUACUACAGCAUUCACCAGAGAAGGUGCUCUUCAUCAUUGAUGGAUUUGAUGAGCUGAGACUCACUCAGGACAUUAAUGACAUGUCACCACACACUGAUCUGCUUCAGAAAGCCCCAGCUGAGGUCAUUCUUUGUGACCUGCUGAGGGGUCGAAUCCUGCCAGAGUCCUUCCUUCUGGUCACCUCCAGAUCUACAGCCACAGAUACACUGAGUAAACUGCUCAAAGGACCUCAGCGUUUCUCUGAGAUCAUGGGAUUUUCAGAAAAGGGGGUAGAGGAGUACUUCCAGAAGUUUUUUCAAAAUGAGGAACUUUUCAGGACGGCUUACACACUUGUGAAGGAGAAUGAAACUCUCAUCACUGCCUGUUCCAUCCCUGUCGUCUGCUGGAUCAUCUGCACAACUAUCAAGGAACGACUCAAAACCGCUGCAGAUGUAACAAGUGGACUGGAAACCACCACCUCCAUCUACGUUGACUUUGUGUGCACGCUCUUGAAGCAUCACUGCCAGGGUUCGAGUCAGUCCAUCCCGACCCUGCUGAGGAGUCUGGGUCAGCUGGCAGAGAGAGGGAUGCUGGAACAGCAAGUCCUGUUGGAUGAGAAAAGUGUUUAUGAAACAGUUUCAGACCCUGCUGGCAAUCCGUUCCUGUGCAAGUUCCUGUUUAAGAGAAGAAUCCACCAGGAGACGAUGUUCAGUUUCAUGCAUCUCAGCUUUCAGGAGUUCUUUACUGCUCUGUACUAUGUCCUUUUGGGUAAAAAACAGUUCCAGAGAAAAUUUACACAGCUAUUACCCAUUGAUAAAUACUCAAGUCAUGGUAUUUGUCUUCCCCGUUUUUCAGCUGUGGUGCAGUUUGUAUUUGGCCUGCUGAAUAAGGAUGUGAGAUGCACACUUGAGGAACAUGGUCUCGUUGUUCAUUCAAAAACACAGACUUAUCUGAAAGAAUGGAUUUUGGAAAUGGGUCAAAAUAUUCACACACAUAAAUCACUUUUUUACUUUCACUGUCUCUAUGAACUUAAUGAGAAUGACUUUGUACAACAAGUUAUGGAAACCUGUGAAAUAAUUGAUGCAUAUGGUGUAGUCAUAAGCAGAACAGACUGCCAGGCCCUGCUGUACUGCUGCAAGUACAUCGAAAAACUGGAUCUUACUGAGUGCAUAUUAUCAUCUGAAAUUUUCCUCAUGAUUCUGCCUGUUUUUCACGAAAAGAAAGUAAGCUUGAACAUACUAGUUUCAUCAGACUCUGAUCAUGAUCUUGAUGAACUGAUAAACGCUCUCAGAGGAAAGACCCAGAGAUCACAGCGCAUUGAUGUCCGCUUUAUAUUUACAAAACUUGAGAAUUGUGAACUUCAUUUGUCAAUCAAUGAAGAGCUUUUCAGUAUCUGCAUAGAAACUUCAAAAUCUUCGUGGUCGCUCACUCUCACCUUUCAAUGCCAAGAGCUAAUCAACAUUAAGUGGGACAAACUUAUACAGAUAAUUCUCCAAGAAGAUUCAGAUGCAUUAAUGUCAGUUCUCUGUUCUUUCGCUGAACUGAAAAAGAUGAAAAUGAAACUGGACUGUCUAAGUGAGAUGUGGACUGUUUGGAUCCUCCAAAUCAUCCAGAACUGCUCCAGUCUAACAGAACUCAAGGUAGAUGCUGGCCUUUUACAGGAGGAAGGAAUCCAGAUCUUGCAGAGUUCAGACACGAGACCAGCCUGUAGUGUGACAUUUGAGGGGUUCACAUGCAAUAAGUCUCAAAAAUGCACACGCUAUUGGGACCGUGAUCUUGGCUGCAAUAAGAUGGUGAAGAUUCAUCUGAGUUCCUCUGGCUUUUCUAUGAAGACAAAGUAAAAGCCCUUGAUUUGAGACUAAUGGUCCAGCUUGAUAACUAGGAGAAAACUGCCAAAGCAGCAUCUUUACCUGGAGCUGAGGAUGGGAAUAAAGACAUCAACCAAGAAUAUCUAAAAUCAUUUAGCUGUGUUGUAAUAGUAAUAAUCAUGUGUCUCUUUAUUUGUAUAUUGCGUUUCACGAUACAUAUUGUUUCAAAGCAUCUUUACAGAGUUUUAUAUUGAUGCUUAAUUGCAUGUAACGGUUUAGAGCUGAAUGAUUGUAGUUUAUAUGUGAAGACAAUAUUAACCUAUCAAGCAUUUUAGAUUUGCUUUAUAGUGUGACCAUGUGAGAGUAUUGUAUGUAUGUUGAAAAAAAAUUGUAUAUAGUAUAUGAGGUUUUAUGUGACGACAUGGAGAAUUGUGAAUCUGUAAGGUUUUGUAUGAUUUAUAAUAAUUUGGUGUACUGACAAGCCUGUUUACUAUUUGAUGAUGUUUAUCACUGCCACAGAUAAAUGAUAUGUGUUAAUAACAGGGUUUAAAAUUUCAGUUUUCAAGAUUUUGGUCACCCACUCCUAGUUUAACGAAAAGGCAUUUUACAAAAUAAAAGUCCUCUAGUGUGCAAGCUAAAGGUGACUGUGGGAAUGAAUGAAAAAGUCCAUUUGAUAUUGGAUAAUGAAUAAAAACUUGGAAGAAUACAGGCUACACCAAGAGACUUCACUGUUGGUGUCUUUUAGAAGAGCCGUAUUAGAAUCUGCAAUUCAUGUGUUUUGAUUUCACAGUAUUGAGACUAAAACACAAACUAGGAGAAGGUGGAGUAUCACUUCCAGGAACAGUACACCAAAAAAUGAAAAAAUGUCAUUUACACACUCAUUUCAAACCUGUAUGACUUUCUUCUGUGGUUUACAAACAAUUUUUUAAACUUUCCUCGCCAGCAUUUCUUUAA